AUGGCUGCCUCUUUGCUUUUUCGCUGCCUGUCUGUUGCCACAUGAAUCCUCUGUGAUGUCUUGCAGUCUACUGCCUGCCUGUUAUGUAGUUUGGCUGAUUCCAAGGUUCCCUGUCUGGAGUGGCGUGAUGUAUUGUUCCUCACAGAGCACCCUGUGUUAAGAGGUGCUAGUGGUCGGCUUUUGGUGGAGGCUAGACACGCUGUAGUGUUAGCGGCACUGGGGUAGUGACAAUUUGCAGUGACCAUCGAUUAGAGUAAGUUGGAGCGCACCCUUAGACUGCCUCCCCACAGCUGGCCCUGGCCCACUCUGCUUUUUUGUUUGGUUUAAUAAUCAGUAACAACUGGGAGUGUGUUAAAAAUAAAAACUCGUUUGCCAAAUUUGUAAUCUUUCAUAUUCCAUUGUAAUUUGAUUAUUUUGUGUUCACCAUCGUCUUUUCAGGCACUUCCAGUUACCGAUUAUCGAUAAAUAAGUUAUUCUUUUGGAGCCACAUCUCUGUAAUAAACCUGUGUAGCCUUUGUAUAAAGGUUUAGUCAAAGUAGAAAAAGAGCAUUUCCUGGGGUGGAAGUCCCCAGGUGGUGUUGUCGGAUAGAUUCUGGUAGUGGUGGUGAUUCCUGUUAGCGCCACCACCAGCCUGGCCACACAGACUAAGAACAUUAAGUAAUAUUUUUGAUUUGAACAUAAAUGUGAAUGCGUUUGUCUCGCUUGUCUGAGUUGUGUUAAACAUUGU